rnacentral:lncRNA from 1 species
ACUUCUGGAUGCCUAGGCCUCUUCCGUUUGCCUCUGGGACUGGCGAUACUCGAGGUAAUGGCUACUGGGGCCAAGUCGUGGGCGACCUGCAGUGCAUGGGUAGAGUAAGGUGCCUCCGCCCAGUCUAAGCAGCCCUCCCCAGAGCUGGUGGGUUCCCAGGAGUGAUGCCUGUUUGUCAGUGAGGCCCCGCGGGGAUGAGGACGGAGCAUUACGCAGCGCACUGCGCCCCCUUGAACUCUGCAGAUGCCAGGAUGUCUUGAGGCCUUCCAGACCUUGCUCCACCUCCACCACCAGGUCUCCAGUCCUGAGCCACAUGCUGCCAUUUUUGUCUCAGAAGCACCCCUCUUCCAGGUGGAAGAUUGAAGGUCUGAAGAGUGGGAAGUCCCAGGAACAGGCAAUUCCAGGAAGAUAUGAGGAAAAUCAAGAAAGAGAAGGAAACUGAAGCUAGUGGGAAGUGCUUCAAGUUGGAGAUGAUGCUGAGAUGGCCAAAAAGUGAGAGGUGGAAAACAUUUGGAGUGAGUUAAGGAGAGAACGCGAGGCAAGGAAGUGAAGCUGAGUGAGUUGGGGAGUGGGGUGCAGGGGCCUUUGGCCACCCCAGGCUCUUUCUAUGUGAACAUUCUGAGACUGAUUCUGAUUUUUUUCCCCUCCCAAAUUGCUCUCUUUUCCUUUCUUCACCUACUUACUCCCUGGUCAUCCUUCCUUUGGGUCAGUGAAGUUGCUGAUUCUUUAGGGAACACUUCUCUGAUUGCUGAAGCUAAUAGUCUCUCCCUGCGGUUGCCGGUUGUUUCCAAUAGUUGACUAGUUUUCUUCCCCAGCACUUACGAGUACACAGCCAGUCACUCUGGUUGCUCACUGUCUUCCUUCUUCCUUGACUGUCAGCUCACAGGAAUGCAGGGCCCUUACUUGUUUUACUCACCACUGCAUCCCAAGGAUAUAGCAGAGUGCCUGGCACACGGUAGGUGCUGAAUAAAUAUUCGUUAAAUGAUUGAUUGGAGGAAAAAACCACCAUCCUCCAUGGUAAACCUUUACUUUACUUUUGCAUACUUCUAAAAGUAUAAUCUAGAGGUUCAGUGACUCCCGCAAAUAAACAGAAAAGGGCACAGAGGGUGGCGAUAGGGCCACUGAUAACAGGAGCUGGAAGUAGAAGACAUCUUUUUUCCGAAGUUGAAGACUUGUACUUCCAUAACCUUGGCAGAUUAGGAAAUGUCAAUUACCCUCCAAUCCAACCUCCUAUAUAGAGCCACACACUGGUUUCCUAGCCUUUUAUGUAUUGAAAAGAUGUUAUCCUAUAAAUUUUCUUCUUUUCCAAUGUGUUCUAUAAAUAUCCACUAAAAUACUUUAAUUGCAAGAAAGUUAGAUAUUUGAGGUUAUAUCCAUGUUUCAUUUCUGUGGAAAACAACACAGAAAAUGUUACCCAAGUAUAACUGGGCACCAUGGCUCCAAUAUUUUCUCAUUAUCAGCUCAAAUAAACACAACUUAGAAUAAAAAAGUCAUGUAAAGCAA